AUGCAGAACAAUGCCAGUGAGUUCAUAAACCUGUACCUCCCAUGGAAAUGCUCCACCAGCAACCAUUGGUGCCGAGGACCAUGGGUCCAUGCAAAACGACAUGGGCGAGAUUGACAAGGUUACGGGCAGGUUUAACGACCAGUUUAAAACCUAUGUUAUCCAGAGGGCCAUUCGCAGGAUGGGUGAGUCAGAUUAUUCCAUUCUCCGAUUGGCCAAAGCCAACAGCAUCGCCCCAGAAAGAACUUUUGA
rnacentral:lncRNA from 1 species